rnacentral:rRNA from 1 species
GACGAACGCUGGCGGCGUGCUUAACACAUGCAAGUCGAACGGAAAGGCCCUGCUUUUGUGGGGUGCUCGAGUGGCGAACGGGUGAGUAACACGUGAGUAACCUGCCCUUGACUUUGGGAUAACUUCAGGAAACUGGGGCUAAUACCGGAUAGGAGCUCCUGCUGCAUGGUGGGGGUUGGAAAGUUUCGGCGGUUGGGGAUGGACUCGCGGCUUAUCAGCUUGUUGGUGGGGUAGUGGCUUACCAAGGCUUUGACGGGUAGCCGGCCUGAGAGGGUGACCGGCCACAUGGGGACUGAGAUACGGCGCAGACUCCUACGGGAGGCAGCAGUGGGGAAUAUUGCACAAUGGGCGGAAGCCUGAUGCAGCAACGCCGCGUGCGGGAUGACGGCCUUCGGGUUGUAAACCGCUUUCGCCUGUGACGAAGCGUGAGUGACGGUAAUGGGUAAAGAAGCACCGGCUAACUACGUG